GGGAGACCGCGUUUCGAGGAUCAGUGGCGGCAGCACCCGCGGCCGCGCGCGGCGCGGCGCAGGCGGCGGGCGGCGAGGUACCCGGGCCCCCUCCUGCUCCGAUCUGGACUGUUUAGCGCCAGCAAGCAGGCUAAAGAGAGCCGGCAGCAAGAAAGCUGAAGCUUAGCAGAGAUGGAAAAGCUCUGUGCUGUGGACGGAAAAAAGCCUGCAUCUCCAGACAGAGCCUGUGCGCCCCACCACCCCGUACAUGGAGGGAAGGGGUGGGGAGAGGAGGAGGCCCGACUUGGUGUGACCCAUUUCCGUCUGUACGGCAGCAGAGAGUAUAUUUCUUCAAAAGCAUCAUUGGCCUCCAAGUGACUGACAUAGGAACCUGAUGGGAAAGUGAUUUGCAAUUGUUUUUUUUUUUUUUUUCCAGGAAGAAAGGAGAGAGCAAGGUGUAGCUGAUUAGCAAGUUAAUUAUUUCAGUACCCCAAGGGUUGCAAUGUGGUGGUGAGUUGUCCAGCCCUGGUGCAAUUUCACAGUCCAUGCAUCUCCUGGUGAGCACCCGGAGGGCCGAGUCUGUCUCUCUCCAUCUACCUGCCUUGAGUCUUCCUGCUAUACCUGGGGGCAUGAGCAGGGGCUGGGAGGCAACAGGAUCUACACUGGGCCUGUGUUGUGUGUGGGGGCCACGGAAAAAGGGUGAAGGAAGGCUCAGAGAUGCCAUCCCCUUCCGCUGAGUGUGUAAUUACCUGGCCUUCUCUGCUUAAAAAAAAAAAAAAAAAAACUUUGGUUUAAUAAAUAUUAAUGAGA